UACGUAGGGCGCAAGCGUUAAUCGGAAUUAUUGGGCGUAAAGAGCUCGUAGGCGGUUUGUCGCGUCUGCCGUGAAAGUCCGGGGCUCAACUCCGGAUCUGCGGUGGGUACGGGCAGACUAGAGUGAUGUAGGGGAGACUGGAAUUCCUGGUGUAGCGGUGAAAUGCGCAGAUAUCAGGAGGAACACCGAUGGCGAAGGCAGGUCUCUGGGCAUUAACUGACGCUGAGGAGCGAAAGCAUGGGGAGCGAACAGG
rnacentral:rRNA from 1 species